CAUGUCUUUUUGAUUAUGAUUUAAGGUCUGGCCUGCCCGUUGAUUAUUUAAAUGGCUGCGGUAUAUUGACCGUACUAAGGUAGCAUAAUAAUUAGUUUCUUAAUUAGGAACUGGAAUGAAUGGCUGAACGAGAAAGCAGCUGUCUCUAAAUUAUUUGUAGAAUUUAAUUUCUAAGUUAGAAAGCUUAGAUGAAUAUAAAAGACGAGAAGACCCUAUAGAGUUUAACAUUAUAAAUAACUAAAUUUUUUGGAAACAGUAAAUUUAAUAUUGAAUAUUGUUUGGUUGGGGCGAUAGCAGGAUUUAAAUAACUCUUGUUUGUUAUUUACAUUAAUUUGUGGUUGAUUGAUCCAGAAUUUUUGAUUAUAAGAAUAAAUUACCUUAGGGAUAACAGCGUAAUCUUUUUAGAGAGUUCUUAUCGAAAUAAAGGGUUGCGACCUCGAUGUUGGAUUAAAAUUUAUUUUUGGCGUAAAGGCUAGAAAAUUGAGUCUGUUCGACUUUUAAAAUUUUACAUGAUCUGAGU
rnacentral:rRNA from 1 species